UUGCUCAGCGGCGAACGGUCGCGCAACACGUAAGCAACCUGCCCCGAAGACCGGGACAACGGUGCGAAAGCGCCGCUAAUACCGGAUGUGCUGUCAUGCUGUGUGGCGUGCCAGUAAAUCCCUUGUGGGCUUCGGGAGGGGCUUGCGGCCUAUCAGGUAGUUGGAGGGGUAACGGCCCACCAAGCCAUCGACGGGUAGCUGGUCUGAGAGGAUGGUCAGCCGGACUGGGACUGAGAGACGGCCCAGACUCCUACGGGGGGCAGCAAUUAGGAAUCUUGUGCAAUGGGGGCAACCCUGACACAGCGACGCCGCGUGGGGGAGGAAGGCCUUCGGGUCGUAAACCCCUUUUAGGGGGGAAGAAACAAAUGACGGUACCCCCUGAAUAAGCCACGGCUAACUCCGUGCCAGCAGCCGCGGUAAUACGGAGGUGGCGAGCGU
rnacentral:rRNA from 1 species